AAUCAACGCUGGCGGCGUGCCUAACGCAUGCAAGUCGAACGCGAAAGGGGGCUUCGGCUCCUAAGUAGAGUGGCGUCCGGGUGAGUAACACGUAGGUAAUCUGCCUUCGGGUGGGGAAUAACCAGUCGAAAGAUUGGCUAAUACCGCAUAAUGCAGCGGCACCUAAUGGUGAUUAGUUGUUAAAGCGGGGGAUCGUAAGACCUCGCGCCUGAAGAGGAGCCUGCGGCAGAUUAGCUAGUUGGUGAGGUAAUGGCUCACCAAGGCUUCGAUCUGUAGCUGGUCUGAGAGGACGGCCAGCCACACUGGCACUGACACACGGGCCAGACUCCUACGGGAGGCAGCAGUGGGGAAUUUUGGGCAAUGGGCGAAAGCCUGACCCAGCAACGCCGCGUGAGGGAGGAAAUCCUUCGGGAUGUAAACCUCACAAGCAAGGGAAGAGAGCUCAGGGCCGAAUAAGCUUUGAGUCCGACGGUACCUUGCGU
rnacentral:rRNA from 1 species